rnacentral:rRNA from 1 species
CCCAGGUCAGGCGGGGCUACCCGCUGAAUUUAAGCAUAUCAAUAAGCGGAGGAAAAGAAACUUAYAAGGAUUCCCCUAGUAACGGCGAGCGAACCGGGAAUAGCC